rnacentral:rRNA from 1 species
AUUGAACGCUGGCGGCAUGCCUUACACAUGCAAGUCGAACGGUAACAGGUCUUCGGAUGCUGACGAGUGGCGAACGGGUGAGUAAUACAUCGGAACGUGCCCGAUCGUGGGGGAUAACGAGGCGAAAGCUUUGCUAAUACCCCAUACGAUCUACGGAUGAAAGCGGGGGAACUUCGGACCUCGCGCGGACGGAGCGGCCGAUGGCAGAUUAGGUAGUUGGUGGGAUAAAAGCUUACCAAGCCGACGAUCUGUAGCUGGUCUGAGAGGAUGAUCAGCCACACUGGGACUGAGACACGGCCCAGACUCCUACGGGAGGCAGCAGUGGGGAAUUUUGGACAAUGGGCGAAAGCCUGAUCCAGCCAUGCCGCGUGCAGGAUGAAGGCCUUCGGGUUGUAAACUGCUUUUGUACGGAACGAAAAGCCUCUUUCUAAUAAAGAGGGGUCAUGACGGUACCGUAAGAAUAAGCACCGGCUAACUACGUG